rnacentral:misc_RNA from 1 species
UACGUAGGGUCCGAGCGUUGUCCGGAGUUACUGGGCGUAAAGCGCGCGCAGGCGGCCAUGCGCGCCCGGCGUGAAAGCCCCCGGCUCAACCGGGGAGGGUCGUCGGGGACGGCAUGGCUUGAGGGCGGUAGGGGCCGGUGGAAUGCCCGGUGGAGUGGUGAAAUGCGUAGAGAUCGGGCGGAACACCUGUGGCGAAGGCGGCCGGCUGGGCCGACCCUGACGCUGAGGCGCGAAGGCGUGGGGAGCGAACGGG